rnacentral:rRNA from 1 species
AGAACGAACGCUGGCGGCAGGCCUAACACAUGCAAGUCGAACGCGACCUUCGGGUCGAGUGGCGCACGGGUGAGUAACGCGUGGGAAUCUGCCCUGUGGUACGGAAUAACAUCGGGAAACUGGUGCUAAUACCGUAUAUCCCCUGAGGGGGAAAGAUUUAUCGCCAUGGGAGGAGCCCGCGUAGGAUUAGCUAGUUGGUGAGGUAACGGCUCACCAAGGCUGCGAUGGGUAGCUGGUCUGAGAGGACGAUCAGCCACACUGGGACUGAGACACGGCCCAGACUCCUACGGGAGGCAGCAGUGGGGAAUCUUGCGCAAUGCGCGAAAGCGUGACGCAGCAACGCCGCGUGGGGAAGAAUGCCUUCGGGUUGUAAACCCCUUUCAGGAGGGACGAAGGUUCACCCGGUGAAUAGCCGGGAGGACUGACGGUACCUCCAGAAGAAGCUCCGGCUAACUACGUGCCAGCAGCCGC